rnacentral:lncRNA from 1 species
AUGUACAUAUAUAGUAGCUACAAAGGAUCCAACGCUUGCUCGGCAGCACAUGAUACUUUUCUUGGAGCAGCUCGUGGUCCGAGAUUUUCCCUGCAUUGCCACAAGAGUUGUUAACAUAGUGUAAUCGGCGACGGGAAGGUAGACAAUUUGAAUAGUUGCUAUGUGUUGCUUUACCGUUUGUUAUUGCAGCAUAGAUGUUAGUCGACCUCUUCCAUGCCUGUUUCUGGUUUGACUUUGACGUAAUCUGGCCCGAGGACUUUGUUCAAGAGAAACCAUGCGAGAUUUUCUACUCUUGUCUCCGGAGGGUUUUUGCCUGUGUAUCUUAGCUCUCCGGUAAACAUUUGUGCUUCUUCGGUGGGCGGUGGAAUUAUUUCUAUAGGGAGUGUGUCAUGUAGCAUCCUAGCACAUGUGCGAGGCGUGACAGUGUUGUAUCUUGCUGCUGACGCACGAUCUUGUUUUCAUAGAGGAAUUGGAUAUUCUCUCGGUGGAAAUCCUCCAGCGUGGCGGUAGCGCUGUCCAGCUGGGUGUGUGCUUUGUUCAAUGAGUGGUAGUUUGCAUCGUCGAUAACUAUGUGCUUGCUUUUGGCGAUAGUUUUGAUUGCGUCUUAUGCUGCCUCAUCUAUUUUUCCUAUUGCUGAAUAGAAAGUGUUUGGUAGGAGUGUGAAAUGCGUCUGAAGCAGGGAUUAAUAUUUCAUACCAGCCUACAUAUUUGUUGCUCUCUCGUGGCGCGGCUCCGCUUGAAAGGAUGCAAGUCUGAGUUGCGGCGCAUAUUUCUUCGAGCAUUUUUUUUUCUGGAGAGCUUGAGUACCU